GUGGGGAAUAUUGGACAAUGGGCGCAAGCCUGAUCCAGCAAUGCCGCGUGGGUGAAGAAGGCCUUCGGGUUGUAAAGCCCUUUUGUACGGAAAGAAAUCCUGGUGGUUAAUACCCGCCGGGGAUGACGGUACCGUAAGAAUAAGCACCGGCUAACUUCGUGCCAGCAGCCGCGGUAAUACGAAGGGUGCAAGCGUUAAUCGGAAUUACUGGGCGUAAAGCGUGCGUAGGUGGUUUCUUAAGUCUGUCGUGAAAGCCCUGGGCUCAACCUGGGAAUGGCGAUGGAUACUGGGAGGCUAGAGUGCGGUAGAGGAUGGCGGAAUUCCCGGUGUAGCGGUGAAAUGCGUAGAGAUCGGGAGGAACAUCUGUGGCGAAGGCGGCCAUCUGGACCAGCACUGACACUGAGGCACGAAAGCGUGGGGAGCAAACAGGAUUAGAAACCCUGGUAGUCC
rnacentral:rRNA from 1 species